AAGGAGCUCAAGUUCUGCUGAGGGAUUUUUUCUGAGCAUGUAUUUCACGAUGGAUCUCCUUGCUUUUGAGGAAGCAGUCACGAAGUUGGGGCAUGAGGUUACAAAGCUAUAUUUAAGAUUCAAUGGAGCUGGAGAUUGCAGUGGUGCAAUUCAUGUGCUGAGAAGCAGGAAUUUAAAGUCCUUCAGAUGGCAUAAGGAUAAAGCCCAACCUGCGACAAGGUGGUAGGCAGUUACCACUGGCUUUGCUUUGAGUAGUAUGGGAGACUACUCAUGCCUGCUCUCAACUUUGAAUUCUGAUUGAGUAAGUAUUCAAUUUCUUGAUAAUUUCUGUAAUAGGAAAUGAAAAUCCAGGUAGGAAGGAAGAGAUAUUAAAAGCCACCGGCAGUCUGUUCAAAAAAGUAAAAUUAUUUCCACCCUUGUCUGAUAGCAUUAACUCUGCUGUAGAUUUCAGACUUCUACCAUUUGCUUCUUCUAACUUCUGCUCUAGAAAAAUUCCCCAGCUUUACACCAUUUUUUUUUUUAGUGAAAUAUUGAAGGUGUUGAAGGAAGCAGUGUGGUGGAUACAUGGCUUUUGAAAGGCACAAAAAGGUACUGAAACACCAAAGAGACAGUCUGAUAAAAUCUAGAGUAAAAACAAAACAACAAAAACAAAAAAGGGCCAUUACAUAGUGUUGCAAAAAACUAAGAAGCAUAAUUUACUAUUUUUAGCAGUUUUAUUUAUGGAAGUGCCUAGCGACCAACAAGUAGAGUUUUAACAGAGUAGGUACUGUUCGUUUCAGACAAAGAAUGAAGAUAAUCCUUGCUUUGUGGAGAUGAAAUGUAAAGAAACAUAAUAAACGUGAAAAGGAAAAAGAUACAUGGUUUAUAAAUACCAUAAGAAAAUGAUAGAUUCUUCUUAAACUGCAGCUUCUUUAAAAUAUUUAAUUACUUUGUGUAAAAGAUCCUAGCUGAUACGUUAAUAAUCCAGUGCUAGGUAGAACACUGG